GAUGAAGAACGUAGCGAAACGCGAAAGGUAAUGCGAAUUGCAGAAUUCAGUGAAUCAUCGAAUCUUUGAACGCACAUUGCGCCCCCUGGUAUUCCGGGGGGCAUGCCUGUCCGAGCGUCAUUACAACCCUCAAGCUCAGCUUGGUAUUGGGCCCCGCCGCUCCGGCGGGCCCUAAAGUCAGUGGCGGUGCCGUCCGGCUCCGAGCGUAGUAAUUCUUCUCGCUCUGGAGGCCCGGUCGUGUGCUCGCCAGCAACCCCCAAUUUUUUUCAGGUUGACCUCGGAUCAGGUAGGGAUACCCGCUGAACUUAAGCAUAUCAAUAAGCGGAGGA
rnacentral:misc_RNA from 1 species